CGAAGCUUACCGGUGGCGGUGCUCUCGGGUGCGGCGGCUCUCCGGUGAAGUUUGUGUUUUGGUGAUUCGGCUCCGAUCAACCUGUAGAGAAAAGAAUGGUGAUCACGGUGAUAUAAAAAUUGCAUUAAACGGAGGCCGGGAAGGGCCUCAUCGGAGGCAAAAACCGAGAAGGGGCGCGGCGGCGCCGCUGGCUUUCGGCCGUGUUUUUCGGCCGUUUGGCCGGGAUUUUGGCUCCGAUUUGGCCACUGGGGAAAUCAGCGUGGAAAAACGAGUCGGGGGUAUGAAAUUUACCUCGAUCGGCGGUCAGAAAUCCCUCCGGUGCGGCGGCGGGUGGCGGCGGCCGGCUUCUGGUUCGUCUUCUCCGGCGAGGGCAGGCAGCUAGGGUUUGGGGUCUGGUGUGGGGGUCUUAUUUAUACCCUUUUGCCUUUUGAUCUCAGCCGUCCAUUUUGUUUUAAUCUGG
rnacentral:lncRNA from 1 species